rnacentral:pre_miRNA from 1 species
ACACAAAGACAGCCUCUUCUCAAUGUGCGUUUUUAUGUGUUUUUGCUGUGCAGCGCUGCUAUAGCGCUGCACAGCAAAAACACAUAAAAACGCACAUUGAGAAGAGGCUG